rfam:Brachypodium distachyon strain Bd21 chromosome 2, whole genome shotgun sequence.
AACUUAUCCCUCCGUCCAACAAAGGAUGUCUCAACUUUGGCCAAAUUUGAAAGCAUCUAUACACUGAGUCAUGUCUAGAUACAUUCAAAUUUUGACAAACUUGAGACAUCUUUUGUUGGACGGAUGGAGUAAUAU